UACGGAGGGUCCAAGCGUUGUCCGGAAUCAUUGGGUGUAAAGGGUGUGUAGGCGGACUUGUAAGUCAGUGGUGAAAGCCCACAGCUUAACUGUGGAAUUGCCGUUGAUACUGCAGGUCUUGAGUGUCGGAGAGGUCACUAGAAUUCGUGGUGUAGCGGUGAAAUGCGUAGAUAUCACGAGGAAUACCAGAGGCGUAGGCGGGUGGCUGGACGACAACUGACGCUGAGGCACGAAAGCGUGGGGAGCGAACAGG
rnacentral:misc_RNA from 1 species